GGCUACAAGAGCAUCAUAAGCUUGCGGUUGGAUAAAUGCCUCCUCUGGGCAUCCUCUGGAGGUUGGAGGUCUAGGGGAAGGAAAAUGAACCUCAGAGAGAUCACCUGUCUAAAGAGGCAAAGUCAUGACCAGUACAGGCCUGGUAAUGUACCAUUUCUGGUGCUUGCAGGCGGACAUCUGUAGAUUCAGAUCUGAACCUGGAACCUGGGUAAGCUUCAGGAAUCUGCCUGUCUCUGCCCUUCCCUUCCCCCAUGCUGGGACUGCGGUGCUCUGACACCAUACCUGGCUUAUUUUUAUAUGUGUGCUAAGCAUUCAACUCAUGCCCUCAUGCUUCCAAAGACAGCUUGUUAUCUGCUGGGCCAUGUCCUGGGCCUCUUCUUCUCCAGUUGUUUCACUUGGUGUUUGUUACAGUGACACCAAGUCCAGGGUACUCUCCCUGAAGUAAACAUUUUUAGUCGUUUUCUAUUUGGCACCAUCUUCUGGAAUUGAAGUGCAAGGGAGGAGUCUGUUCUCUGAACAGGGACAGGGUAGCCUUCUGACAAGACAAUGCAAACAGAAGGUUGUGUGUUACUCUUAGCAGCUGGGUGACCUCAUUUCACAGCUCCCGACUUCACUUCAGAGAGUGGCCUUAGGGUUUUGAUGAUCCCCAAAUGCCUCUGAAACUUCAAGGUGGCAAUCUCUGACAACCUUGGACACCAGAAAAUAAGAUUAUGUCCUUGGCAUCCAGACAUUUCCCCAGAAAGUCCUCUCUGCACAGACCCAUGAAUCAGACAGAGUCAUCGCUCGCUGCUUCUGCUGGCUGACUGAUGAGACUCUGGAACACUCCCGGCCCUGGGAAACUGGUCUGCUAAGACCUGACACCAGAGCCAACCAUCCUGACCCAGUCAUGGCAGAGCCAGAGAGCCUCAGGCACUUGAAGAGAGAAGGGUGAGACUCUGAGCCAUCCAUUGUCAUUAGAGAACAAGCCAGUGAACAAUGCAGUGACCACUGAGUUGCAUUUGUGUGCAGCCAACAGAAGGAACACAGCUACUAUGUGGCAUUUGAAGUCAAGAUUACAGUUUCUGCCACUGGAGCCCCCUCUUUAGCCUUGGUUUCACUUUUCACUCUGAGGCAAGGUCUCAAUAAAUUGCCCAUGCUGGCCUUGAACUCAC